UUACGGUAAAAAGAUACUAGGUAGAUUAUCUGGAAAAUAGAAGUUUAUUUGAUAUUGGUGGUCUUUAUAAUAUCAAGUGCAACAGUGCAGUGUAUUACUUAUACUUUUUUCUCUUUCAGAUUGAUUGUGAUGGCUACUUGUGUGAAGAUUGCCUAACAUCGGCUGUAAAUCGACUAUCUCUUGAAUUAAGAACUCAGGUUGCAAGUCACUGUAUUUGGUGUAAAAAGUCAAUACUUGGUCAUCAUUCUCAUCGAUUACCAAACGGCCCUGAGAGAGAUCAUAUAGCUUUGCGUAUAUUACCACGACAGAUACAACCUGAGCAUAGAGUUUGCUAUGCCUGUUGGCUUGCAGCUCGUAGAAAUGUUCAACGAGCGCAGAUGCAAGAUCAAAAUAGAGCUGAACCUCCUGGACAACUUGUAGAUCAAUCAUCUACAUCUCAGCCUCAACUAUCCAUAUCUCAGCCUCAACCUUCCACAUCUCAGCCUCAACCUUCCACAUCUCAGCCUCAACCAUCCACAUCUCAUGCUUCAAUUUGUGUUUGGUGUCAGAGAUCAAUUGCCAGAUGUCAUUCUCAUUCUUUACGAGAAGGUCCUGAAAGAGAUGUCAUUGCAAGACGUAUCUCACCCAGAUUGAUUGAACUUCAUAGUAGAGUUUGCUAUGCAUGUUGGCUGUCAGUUCGCAGAAAUGUGGCAGAAGAGGUUACCCCUGAAAGUGCAAACACUAAUUUCAGCCAACAGCAGACAUCACUUCCAAAUUAUAGACGUACUGGU